GGACGAACGCUGGCGGCGUGCUUAGCACAUGCAAGUCGAACGGAAAGGCCCUGCGUUUGUGGGGUGCUCGAGGGGCUAACGGGUGAGUAACACGUGAGUAACCUGCCCUUGACUUUGGGAUAACUUCAGGAAACUGGGGCUAAUACCGGAUAGGAGCUCCUGGUGCAUGGGGGGGGUUGGAAAGUUUCGUCGGUUGGGGGUGGACUCGCGGCUUAUCAGCUUGGUGGUGGGGUAGUGGCUUACCAAGGCUUUGACGGGUAGCCGGCCUGAGAGGGUGACCGGCCACAUUGGGACUCAGAUACGACUCAGACUCCUGCGGGAGGCAGCAGUGCGGAAUAUUGGUCACUGGGACGAAGCCUGAUGCAGCACCUCCGCGUGCGGGAUGACGGCCUAAGGGUUGUAAACCGCUUCCGCAUGUGACGCAGCGUGAGUGACGGUAAUGUGUAAAGAAGCACCGGCUAACUACGUG
rnacentral:rRNA from 1 species